CUUCACGAUUUGCGGGAAAGAAGACGUCCAUAUUGGUCGCAGUAGUAUUUCUACAAUUUUAUUAUGUUUCCAUAAAGUAACAUCACUGGGGUUCAUCUACAGACCAAGUUCAGUCAUAAGAUGUCAUAGGAGGCCAAUCCACAAUUGGGCUAAGACAGUUUUGUGACAGUUAACAUUGUGACGGUUUUGAGAAGCUUUGGACUCGCUGUUCAGAUAAAUUAUUCUUUAAGACUGAAUUACAAUUGUAUUAUUAUUGUUAUUAUUAAAUAUUGAGAGAAACAUAUUAAAAGACAUGUUAGAAUUUAAUAA